AGUGAACGCUGGCGGUAGGCCUAACACAUGCAAGUCGAACGGCAGCACAGUGAGAGCUUGCUCUUACGGGUGGCGAGUGGCGGAUAGGUGACGAAUACAUCGGCAUCCACUAUUUCGUGGGGGACAACGUAGGGCAACUUACGAUACUACCGCAUACGACCUACGGGUGAAAGCAGGGGAUCUUCGGACCUUGCGCGAUUGAAUGAGCCGAUGUCGGAUUAGCUAGUUGGCGGGGUAAAGGCCCACCAAGGCGACGAUCCGUAGCUGGUCUGAGAGGAUGAUCAGCCACACUGGAACUGAGACACGGUCCAGACUCCUACGGGAGGCAGCAGUGGGGAAUGUUAGACAAUGGGCGCAAGCCUGACCCAGCCAUACCGCGUGGGUGAAGAAGGCCUUCGGAUUGUAAAGCCCUUUUAUUAGGGAAGAAAAGCAGCAGGUGAAAACCUCGCUGUUCUGACGGUACCCAAAGAAAAAGCAACGGCUAACUUCGUG
rnacentral:rRNA from 1 species